rnacentral:rRNA from 1 species
GACGAACGCUGGCGGCGCGCCUAACACAUGCAAGUCGAACGGAGCUGAGAGAAGCUUGCUUUUCUUAGCUUAGUGGCGAACGGGUGAGUAACGCGUGAGUAACCUGCCCUGGAGUGGGGGACAACAGUUGGAAACGACUGCUAAUACCGCAUAAGCCCACGAUCCGGCAUCGGAUUGAGGGAAAAGGAUUUAUUCGCUUCAGGAUGGACUCGCGUCCAAUUAGCUAGUUGGUGAGGUAACGGCCCACCAAGGCGACGAUUGGUAGCCGGACUGAGAGGUUGAACGGCCACACUGGGACUGAGACACGGCCCAGACUCCUACGGGAGGCAGCAGUGGGGGAUAUUGCACAAUGGGGGAAACCCUGAUGCAGCGACGCCGCGUGGAGGAAGAAGGUUUUCGGAUUGUAAACUCCUGUCGUUAGGGACGAUAAUGACGGUACCUAACAAGAAAGCACCGGCUAACUACGUG